AGGUGCUAGGAACACAAUCAUGAGCCACCAAGCCUGACUGGCUGGCUCUUUGCUUCUGUAAAGGUGGUAGUAACCAGUAAGUUUCACACAAACUUCACACUCAGUCUGUGGGCCCAGUGAGCUGCAGUGAAAGACCCUGGCUGGCACAGUCCCUCGAUGAGGGAAGGAAGACUAAGACUCCAUCCUGUUUAGGCCAGUGUUAUCGUGAAGCUAACGCAGCAGCCAAACCCACAGACUCACGUCUCCCGUAGGAGCCGCCUGGGAAAUGUCACCCCAUCGCCCUUCCUCCCAGCAGCCGCCUGGGCACUGGGCUCUUUGAGGGAUGCACGCGUGUAAAAACACACACGCCACUUGCAGUCUAUGUGUUUUGCUGAGGUCUUCGUCUGUUCUGGCCUGUACAGGCAAGAUCAUCGCUAUUUUUGCCUGCUUCAGCUAUGCUGUGGGUCAGCAAACUCAGUACGGGUCUAAGAUCUCAUCUGGGCCCAAGAGAGUUUUGCUAUGGACAUCUUAGAAAGCCAUUUCCAGGGUCUCCUGGAAGUCUCCAGAAGCCCCUCCCACUCUCCAGACACUAGGAGACAGUGGCUCCAGGAUGCGCUGUGCCAUAACCAGAGAAUCCAAGAUGGAGUCAAACCAACUCUGGGACUCUUCACCACAAUGAUUAGCCUGCAACUAAUGGCGUAACCUGGCAACUGUUCAACCCAGUUCGAGAGAUGCUUUUCUUUGCAAAUGAAUAGAAGGGUCCAGCUGGCUGUGGGCAGUGUCACCCCUGAGCUGAGCUGGUGGCCUUGGGAGCUUUGAGCAAGCAGGCUGAGCAAGCCAUGAGGGAGCAAGCCAGUAAGCAGCACUCCUCUGUUCUGAGCAAGUUCUGCAUCAGCUCCUGCCCUCCAGGUUCCUGCCCUGUUUGAGCUCCUGCUCAGACUUUCCUCAGUGGUGGACGCUGAUGUGGGAUUGUAAGCUGAAAUAAACCCUUUCCUGCUCCUAACCCGAGGCUGAUUUUCCAGAUGUGUCCCUCAAGUCUCCCCAGCUAAGAAAGGGGUGUGUCUUUGAACUGUUUCCUGGGUAACACCUCGGCAGAAAUUGUCCCAGCGAGCCACUGCAGCUUGUUGUCUGGAAAGAUAAGGGUGUGGAGAUGAGAGGAGAGGAGAUGCUGGAGGCAACAAAUGAUGAGCAGAAGUUUCUAGAGAGACUGCAAACACAGUCCUCUGUCAUGGAGAAACAGCUCUGGUGACCACUAUGGAGGCUGUGGGGGCUUUUGAGGCUCGGAAUGAGGACAGAAAGACUGAAGAGCCUAGCGGGAGGGGUAGCUCAGUGGUUAGGGCACUGAGUGCUUGUUUUUCCGGACUGAUGAACCAGAGUUCAAUUCCUAGCGUCCACAUGGCAGCUCACGUCCAUCACUCUAGUUCCAGCUGGCUUCAGAGGGCACGAGGCAAACCACCUGUCUUCGUUAGGGUUUUACUGCUGUGAACAGACACCAUGACCAAGGCAACUCUUAUAAGGACAACAUUGAA